GACGAACGCUGGCGGCGUGCUUAACACAUGCAAGUCGAACGGAAAGGCCCUGCUUUUGUGGGGUGCUCGAGUGGCGAACGGGUGAGUAACACGUGAGUAACCUGCCCUGGACUUUGGGAUAACUUCAGGAAACUGGGGCUAAUACCGGAUAGGAGCGCCUGCUGCAUUGUGGGGGGUGGAAAGUUUCGGCGGGUGGGGAUGGACUGCCGGCUUAUCGGCUUGUUGGGGGGGGAGUGGCUUACCAAGCGGCUGAGGGGUGGCCGGCCUGAGCGGGUGACCGGACACUUUGGGACUGAAAUACCGCCCAGGCUCCUGCGGGAGGCAGCAGGGGGGAAUAUUGCACAACGGGGGAAACGCGGAUGCAGGGACGCCGCGGGGGGGAGGAAGGCCUUCGGGUUGGAAGCCCAUUUCGCUAGGGAGGAAGCGUUGUGUGACGAUAGCUGGAAAAGAAGCACCGGCUAACUACGUG
rnacentral:rRNA from 1 species